rnacentral:tRNA from 1 species
AAGGGCAUAGCUCAAGUGGCAGAGCGCAUGCUUAGCAUGCAUGAGGCCCUGGGUUCCACCCCUAGUACCUCCU